UACGAAGGGGGCUAGCGUUGCUCGGAAUUACUGGGCGUAAAGGGCGCGUAGGCGGGUCGUUAAGUUGGGGGUGAAAGCCCAGGGCUCAACCCUGGAAUUGCCUUCAAUACUGGCGACCUUGAGUAUGGCAGAGGUGUGUGGAACUCCGAGUGUAGAGGUGAAAUUCGUAGAUAUUCGGAAGAACACCAGUGGCGAAGGCGACACACUGGGCCAUUACUGACGCUGAGGCACGAAAGCGUGGGUAGCAAACAGG
rnacentral:rRNA from 1 species